UACGUAGGGUGCGAGCGUUAAUCGGAAUUACUGGGCGUAAAGGGCGCGUAGGCGGUUCGCUAAGUCGGAUGUGAAAACUCUGGGCUCAACCCAGAGCCUGCAUCCGAAACUGGCGGGCUAGAGUUCUGGAGGGGGUAGCGGAAUUCCUGGUGUAGCGGUGAAAUGCGUAGAUAUCAGGAGGAACACCGGUGGCGAAGGCGGCUACCUGGACAGAAACUGACGCUGAGGCGCGAAAGCUAGGGGAGCAAACAGG
rnacentral:rRNA from 1 species